UACGGAGGGAGCUAGCGUUGUUCGGAAUUACUGGGCGUAAAGCGUACGUAGGCGGCUUUGUAAGUAAGAGGUGAAAGCCUGGAGCUCAACUCCAGAACUGCCUUUUAGACUGCAUCGCUUGAAUCCAGGAGAGGUGAGUGGAAUUCCGAGUGUAGAGGUGAAAUACGUAGAUGUUCGGAAGAACACCAGUGGCGAAGGCGGCUCACUGGACUGGUAUUGACGCUGAGGUACGAAAGCGUGGGGAGCAAAC
rnacentral:rRNA from 1 species